GGGGUACGAGAGGGCCGCUACCACGCGAGUGGAUGCCAGUCCCUAAAACCCCUCCUCAGUUCGGACUGGAGUCUGCAACCCGACUCCACGAAGCUGGAUUCGCUAGUAAUCGCGCAUCAGCCACGGCGCGGUGAAUACGUUCCCGGGCCUUGUACACACCGCCCGUCAAGCCAUGGGAGCCGGGGGUACCUGAAGUGCGUAACCGCGAGGAUCGCCCUAGGGUAAAACUGGUGACUGGGGCUAAGUCGUAACAAGGUAUC
rnacentral:rRNA from 1 species